CCCUUAGAUGUUCUGGGCUGCACGCGCGCUACACUGAUGCGAUCAACAAGUUUUUCCUAUGUCGAUAGACACGGGUAAUCUUUUGAACUCGCAUCGUGAUGGGGAUAGAUUAUUGUAAUUAUUAAUCUUCGACGAGGAAUUCCUAGUAGGUGCAAAUCAUCAGUUUGCAUCGAUUACGUCCCUGCCCUUUGUACACACCGCCCGUCGCUGCUACCGAUUGGUUGAUCUGGUGAAUUAUUCGGACUGCCGGCUGAAGGGGUUUCCUCAUCUGCCAGCGGAACGUCUUGUUAACCCUAUCAACUAGAGGAAGCAGAAGUCGUAACA
rnacentral:rRNA from 1 species